UACGAAGGGGGCAAGCGUUGUUCGGAAUUACUGGGCGUAAAGGGCGCGUAGGCGGUUAACCAAGUCAGAUGUGAAAGCCCCGGGCUCAACCUGGGAAUUGCAUUUGAAACUGGUUGACUUGAAUUCGGGAGAGGAUGGCGGAAUUCCCAGUGUAGAGGUGAAAUUCGUAGAUAUUGGGAGGAACUCCAGUGGCGUAGGCGGCCAUCUGGCCCGAAAUUGACGCUGAGGCGCGAAAGCGUGGGGAGCAAACAGG
rnacentral:misc_RNA from 1 species